GUGGGGAAUCUUAGACAAUGGGCGCAAGCCUGAUCUAGCCAUGCCGCGUGAGCGAUGAAGGCCUUAGGGUUGUAAAGCUCUUUCGCUGGGGAAGAUAAUGACUGUACCCAGUAAAGAAGCCCCGGCUAACUCCGUGCCAGCAGCCGCGGUAAUACGGAGGGGGCUAGCGUUGUUCGGAAUUACUGGGCGUAAAGCGCGCGUAGGCGGAUUGGAAAGUUGGGGGUGAAAUCCCGGGGCUCAACCUCGGAACUGCCUUCAAAACUCCCAGUCUUGAGUUAGAGAGAGGUGAGUGGAAUUCCGAGUGUAGAGGUGAAAUUCGUAGAUAUUCGGAGGAACACCAGUGGCGAAGGCGGCUCACUGGCUCGAUACUGACGCUGAGGUGCGAAAGCGUGGGGAGCAAACAGGAUUAGAUACCCUUGUAGUCC
rnacentral:rRNA from 1 species